rnacentral:rRNA from 1 species
GAUGAACGCUGGCGGCGUGCCUAAUACAUGCAAGUCGAGCGAACAGAUGAGGAGCUUGCUCCUCUGACGUUAGCGGCGGACGGGUGAGUAACACGUGGAUAACCUACUUAUAAGACUGGGAUAACUUCGGGAAACCGGAGCUAAUACCGGAUAAUAUAUCGAACCGCAUGGUUCAAUAGUGAAAGACGGUUUUGCUGUCACUUAUAGAUGGAUCCGCGCCGCAUUAGCUAGUUGGUAAGGUAACGGCUUACCAAGGCAACGAUGCGUAGCCGACCUGAGAGGGUGAUCGGCCACACUGGAACUGAGACACGGUCCAGACUCCUACGGGAGGCAGCAGUAGGGAAUCUUCCGCAAUGGGCGAAAGCCUGACGGAGCAACGCCGCGUGAGUGAUGAAGGUCUUCGGAUCGUAAAACUCUGUUAUUAGGGAAGAACAAAUGUGUAAGUAACUAUGCACGUCUUGACGGUACCUAAUCAGAAAGCCACGGCUAACUACGUG